rnacentral:rRNA from 1 species
AUAAGAAGAUAAACCCCCCAUGUAGGCCUCAAAUAAUGUGUGACUACCCCCUAAAUUUAAGCAUAAU